GGGGGUAUAGCUCAGCUGGGAGAGCAGCAGACUGAAGCCGCAUUUCGUCUUUCUGUGUUUCUGAAGGUCCCGCGUUCGAUCCGCGGUACCCCCA